rnacentral:rRNA from 1 species
AGCGAACGCUGGCGGCAGGCCUAACACAUGCAAGUCGAGCGCCGUAGCAAUACGGAGCGGCAGACGGGAGAGUAACACGUGGGAACGUGCCCUUUGGUUCGGAACAACCCAGGGAAACUUGGGCUAAUACCGGAUAAGCCCUUACGGGGAAAGAUUUAUCGCCGAAGGAUCGGCCCGCGUCUGAUUAGCUAGUUGGUGGGGUAAUGGCCCACCAAGGCGACGAUCAGUAGCUGGUCUGAGAGGAUGAUCAGCCUACCUGGGACUGAGACACGGCCCGGACUCCUCCGGGAGGGAGCAGUGGGGAAUAUUGGACAAUGGGCGCAAGCCUGAUCCAGCCAUGCCGCAUGGGUGAUGAAGGCCCUAGGGUUGUAAAGCCCUUUCGGCGGGGAAGAUAAUGACGGUACCCGCAGAAGAAGCCCCGGCUAACUUCGUGCCAGCCGCCGCAGUAA